UACGUAGGGUGCAAGCGUUGUCCGGAAUUAUUGGGCGUAAAGAGCUCGUAGGCGGUUUCGUAAGUCGGGUGUGAAAACUCCAGGCUCAACCUGGAGACGCCACCCGAUACUGCGAUGACUUGAGUCCGGUAGGGGAGCGUGGAAUUCCUGGUGUAGCGGUGAAAUGCGCAGAUAUCAGGAGGAACACCAACGGCGAAGGCAGCGCUCUGGGCCGGAACUGACGCUGAGGAGCGAAAGCGUGGGUAGCGAACAGG
rnacentral:rRNA from 1 species